GCAAGUGUCUUAAUUUCAUGGCUGCAGUCACCAUCUGCAGUGGUUUUGGAGCCCAAGAAAAUAAACCCUGUCACUGUUUCCAUUGUUUCUCCAUCUAUUUGCCACGAAGUGAUGGUACCAGAUGCCAUGAUUUUAGUUUUCUAAAUGUUGAGUUUUAAGCCAACUUUUUCACUCUCCUCUUCCAACUUCAUCAAGAGGCUCUUCAGUUCCUCGUAGCUUUCUGCCAUAAAGGUGGUGUCAUCAGCAUAUCUGAGGUUAUUGAUAUUUCUCCCGGAAAUCCUGAUUCUAGCUUGUGCUUCUUCCAGCCCAGCGUUUCUCAUGAUGUGCUCUGCAUAGAAGUUAAAUAAGCAGGGUGACAAUAUACAGCCUUGACAUACUCCUUUUCCUACUUGGAACCAAUCUGUUCUUCCAUGUCCAGUUCUAACUGUUGCUUCCUGACCUGCAUACAGAUUUCUCAAGAGGCAGGUCAGGUGGUCUGGUAUUCCCACCUCUUUCAGAAUGUUCCACAGUUUAUUGUGAUCCACACAGUCAAAGGCCUUGGCAUAGCCAAUAAAGCAGAAAUUGAUGUUUUCUGUAACUCUCUUGCUUUUUCAAUGAUCUAACGGAUGUUGGCAAUUUGAUCUCUGGUUCCUCUGCCUUUUCUAAAUCCAGCUUGAACAUCUGGAAGUUCACGGUUCACGUACUGUUGAAGUCUAGCUUGAAGAAUUUUGAGCAUUACUUUACUAGCGUGUGAGAUGAAUGUAAUUGUGUGGUAGUUUGAGCAUUCAUGGCUCCAACAUCCAGGUGCUCCUUUACCUGAAUGCGACUAGGAAAUGAGUGCAUAUGCUCAUCUCUCAGGCUAUCUGUUUCUUGGGCCCCAUUGUAUUUUAAUCUCAUGGGAACUGUAAAGAAAUAAUAGCCUUAAAUCACAAAUUCUCAAAUCCUCUAGAGAUAAGCAGAGCAGAGUUUGAAAAGAACCAUCAUCCAAUAGCUCAAGUUUUAUCCUAAAUGUUUCCUAGUUCUUUCAAAGUUUUUGACUUCUGCUUGAGUUUACUUUAAAUCUGGUAUCACUACCACUCAUGAG
ensembl:lncRNA